GCUGUGAUGGCAUAACAGGGUGGUAAGCUUGAUAGAUGCAUAGUUUGAAGAGCUAUUGAAGAGUGAUUGGCACAUGAGGAGGAAAGUCCUGUUAGGAAGAAGGACAGGGCACCAGAAGUGCUGACAAAUUUACUGAACUGAAUGCCCCGGGAGAGAAGAGAACAGUGGUCUGAAUGCUGCCCCUGUCUACCAACCUGAGCAAGAACACAUCUUGGCUGGGACACAGAGGGACCAGUGGAGAGAGGGAGCACCUCACGAACCCACAGAUGAAAAAAUCAUGAGUUCCUGGAUCCCAAGACUGUAGAUACUGAAAAG